rnacentral:lncRNA from 1 species
AAUCACAACUUAUGAAAUCACAACCGAAGGUAAUCAAUUCAUAUUACAAAUAUAUUCAUGGCUUUGAAUUAACCUCUAGCCAAAUUAAAUUUAGUUAUACAUUAUUAAAACAGAAAUAAAAUAUAAGUUUGGAAAGAUUUAACCGAGAGAGAAGAGUGCUUCAGUGCCAGUCUGCCCGUGCCUGUGGUCUUCUGCUCGUUUCUAUUUCUUUCCUGAUCCUCCUCAAGCUUCACGCUGCCCAAAGGGCAGCGCCCUUUCCCCGCCAGUUUUCUUCCCACGUCUGCACAUCUGACUUGCCCGCGCCUCGCUCUCCCGCGUCACACUCCUGCGCUGGACUGCCCACGCUGCCAAGUCAGCACCCUGUCCUCCUAUCCAUUUCUGUCCUCGCACGAGCUGCCAACUGGCAGCGCCUUUCUCUGCUCUAUGUUGCCGUGUCAGUCCUCGUGCUCACCUAUCUCUCUCGCCCUCCUCCCUCCGUCCUGACCUCUCUCCUGUUUUCCUAGUUGCUGCAAAAGCAGCAGAAAACCCCCCCCACGUCUCCUCUGUCUCCCUCUUCUGUUAUUUUCUAUUUUCUGUCUGUCUUCACGCUGCCCAAAAGGGCAGCUCCCUCCCUCUCUCACGCUGCUGUCUCUCCUCUCUCUUCUAUUUUUUUAUUUCCUUUUUUUUUUCUGGCAGCAAGGCUGCCUUCUCUUUUCCACC